UGCUUUGUAUGAAAUCCGUUGUAAUUAUCUGACAGACUUAACACAAUCAGUCUCAACUUGGCAUUAAAAGUAACC
rnacentral:tRNA from 1 species